CGGACGGGUGAGUAAUGUCUGGGAAACUGCAUGAUGGAGGGGGAUAACUACUGGAAACGGUAGCUAAUACCGCAUAACGUCGCAAGACCAAAGAGGGGGACCUUCGGGCCUCUUGCCAUCGGAUGUGCCCAGAUGGGAUUAGCUAGUAGGUGGGGUAACGGCUCACCUAGGCGACGAUCCCUAGCUGGUCUGAGAGGAUGACCAGCCACACUGGAACUGAGACACGGCCCAGACUCCUACGGGAGGCAGCAUG
rnacentral:rRNA from 1 species